rnacentral:lncRNA from 1 species
AAAGUGGAUGAGAUUGGAGAAACCUUUUUCUAUUGUUUGACGAAGUCUCCGGAGGGUCAUUUUGAACUACCAAACUUUUAAAUGAGUUAAUUUGAGUUUUCUCUAAAUUGGCCCAAUAAAUAUUUCUAAUUCCACCUGCCAAAGUUUUGAGGGUUGGACGGGCUACAUAAAUUCAUAUGAGCAGUGUUGACACUGAAUGAGUAAUGGCGAGCCUAUAAGCCUCUAUCAAGUUAUAUAACGGUGCAUCAAUCCAGUAGAUCCAAAGGUUUACAGAUGUUCUCAUUUCUUAUAAGAGGAAAAUAACAGUAGGCUGUCUCAGUUUCACUGAAACUGGUCUAAGUUCACUGCUGAAAGAGAAUAACAACUUAGAGCUGCACCUCUAGAAGAAACACACCUUUUCACACACAAAAUCAUGUAUGCACAUUUAUUUUUUCUUGUCAGUCGGGUGGAAUUUCUCAAAAGGGAGUAAGAAGUAAGGUGCAAAGUGCCAAAAGAUUAAAAAGCAAGGAUGUGAAAAGGAAUUAAAUUCAAAAAUAUCAGACUAGCAUUUUUCUUUUGUCUUUGUUAUUCACUGAUGUAACACCCAGACUAAUUAUGAUACAGAGUGAAUCUAUGUGGGAUUAAGAUAAGUUGCUGUGUGGCUUGUUCUUCUUGUAUCUAGCGGGAUGCAGUGUCAAGUAGUUAGCACGGAAACUCAUGUCACAAGAGUUGUGUCUAUGGACUUCAGCAGUUUCCAAUUCUACAAGUGAAAUCAUUAUGGGUGCUCAAGUUUCUAAAACAAACAAAAGGAUCUUACCCCCUGAACAUAAAAGGAAAAUCUGCAGCACCUUCAUUGAAGCAUUCACAAGUAAACUAUUGUGCUCAACCCAACUUGCUGACAAUAGUUACAAGUCUUAUGCACAUCAACGGGGAACCAUUAACCCAGCAUAUUUUGGAAAUAAACUGUAUACAAUUUCAUUUAAAAACUGAGCACACAAAUCAAAUAUUUAGGUUAUUAGAGUCGUCCCUACUUCCUCGGCUCUAUAAACGUGAUCAUCUUGAAAUCUAUGUUGCAAUAACCUUCCCAGGUUAAUUUUAAAACACAGACUCUUGUUUUAGACUUUGUAAACUGCAAACAUAUAAACCAGUGGAUCUAUGAGAAGCGGUAAACUAGUAUGAAACUGCCAUCCUAUAGUGUCCAGAUGAGUCCUUCCCUAGCAAUGUAUAUGAGUGUUUGCAGGGAACUUUGCCGUAGUCAAUACUUAAUGAGAUGAAGAGAUUGAUUUAACAUGAGUUGAUUGGUAGGGGUUAGCAACCACUAAGAAGAUAAAACAGGGGGGAUAGAAGCCACUAAGAAUAUUAAAACAGGGCACCUAGGAAUUAGGAUGAGUUGAUUGGUAAAGGAUAGCAGCCCCUUGACAGACUCUUGUUUUAGACUUUGUAAACUGCAAACAUAUAAACCAGUGGAUCUAUGAGAAGCGGUAAACUAGUAUGAAACUGCCAUCCUAUAGUGUCCAGAUGAGUCCUUCCCUAGCAAUGUAUAUGAGUGUUUGCAGGGAACUUUGCCGUAGUCAAUACUUAAUGAGAUGAAGAGAUUGAUUUAACAUGAGUUGAUUGGUAGGGGUUAGCAACCACUAAGAAGAUAAAACAGGGGGGAUAGAAGCCACUAAGAAUAUUAAAACAGGGCACCUAGGAAUUAGGAUGAGUUGAUUGGUAAAGGAUAGCAGCCCCUUGGAAGAUGGAAAUGUCAGGCCUCCUCAUCCUGAAGAUAUCAUUACUCUUUGGCCACAAAAUUACUGUUUCAUAAUGGAACUUCUUUUAUACCGAGAAAUCCUUGAGGACGCAUGGUUAGGAACUCAGUGGAAAAUGGGACUGCCUGGCGCCCUCUAUCCUUCUCCACUUAAGUAGCAGACUCUUAACGAAAAAACUCACUGAAUCUCAUUGCACUUACUAUUUCACAUCACUUCUCCUUCGUUCUUUCACUCAAUAUAAUUGAAAACCUUGUUUCUGUAUACUAUGUACGAUGUGCAGAAAAAGUUAUGGUUGUCACAUGAUAGAUAUAUAUACCAUGAUUAUCAUAAAUGAGAUUAGAUAAGUAGAUGUUCUGACUCCUUCCAGAAGAGGGAAAAAAGAACUUCUUGAUCUAGAUGGCCGAUAGUGGUACCAGGUGGCAGGCAACAUGAACUUCCAGUUAAAAGGAAUAGUUGUACUUGAUGUAACUUAAAGUAUUCUUUUGGGAAGUUCUGAGUGAAAUUCAUUCCUAUUCAUUGAGAGCAGGUAGAUAAAACUUAAGUACGUAAAGAUUGGUAUUGAUCAUCUCUUUUAAGUUCUAACAAAGAUUUUCUGGCAGGACUCCCGCAAUAUUGGGAGGGGCAUCAAUUGAAUUCAAGUAUAUUAGUGCAAUGAUCUUUAUAUGAUUACACUGGGUAUGUCGUUGUUGUUGAUCUUUAUAUGACACGGUGAAGUCUAAGAAAUAUUAAAGGUAAGGUCAUUGGAUAGCAGAUGUUUGGUAUGUAUCACAAUCAGAUUUACACAAGCUACAUCCGUGCAUCACUUGAUAUCGACUCUUAAUUCAUUUGACAUUGCAAAACACAAAGUAUAUGAAAAAAUCUAAUCAUCUAUAAUCAAUAAUUACUAUUUUUCCACACCCCCUAAGAGAUCUUCACUUCUUCUAUUAAAAUUUAAAACGUUCCAUGCUACGUAUUGGCAGCAUCAAGAUUCAAUGUCUUUGGCAAUAAAUCCUAGAGCAACCUAACUAAGGAGGUAAAUUUACCUGGCUAAUGUUAUUUGGCACAAAAGUUAGCUCAUACAAAAUCUCUACUCUAGUAUCUCAGCAUAUAAUAAAGGGGCACUACAAACGAACCUACGACAGUAAUAUCUUUUCAAGAUGGGAGUCAAUGAAAAUGGGGAAAAACAUGUUUUUCUUUCUGUUGGGUGCACUAGAGACUGCAUUAUUUUUGUGUUCCUAUCAAAGAGUAGCCGGACAAUGCUAGAGUUCUCUCUGGAUCUCUAAUACCCAUGUUGCUGGACUCUCCAAAAUUGUUGCUGCGGCCGUGUCUGAUUCUCCAAAAUGCACUACUUUUGAAGAAUCCAAGCAACAUAGCCAAAAAACAAGCAUAAAUUACACCUAUCAUAUCUAAAACAAUUUAAACAAGCUAAGCAUAUCCCUAAUUGCUAAUAUUCUUAAAAAUAAUACAAACAAAAAUUACUGGCAUAGUCCAACUAAAGGCAUGUCCAAUUAGCACUUCACCCUCAUAAAUAACCCCAUGCCUUUGUGAUACAAUUGUGAAAUCACAAAGCACACAAGCAGUUGCAGUAAUAGCCCGUUGACACCCCUAAUUUUCGUUAAGAAGACAAAUUAUUCCUCAUUUGAACGAAAUGGAUCUGAAUAUAUCAAAACAAUUCACCAGACCCCAACUAAAUUAAUCAAUUUGAUAUAUCUGCCGACUGUCCUAAUAAACAGCACUCAACUAAUAUAUGAAACUGAUAAGAUUUUGAUCCGUGAAAGAAACGAUUAGGCAGAAAAACAAAAAAUAGAGAGCUAAAACAGACAAGUGAUACCUUUUCUGAUCGUCGUGACGGCGACACACAAAGAAAGAAGGAUGAAAUCGACAUGAAUUAGAGUUGUUAGAAGCUGAAUCAUAUAUCUGUUUGCAUCUCUUGCAUACUUUCUCUCUGCUCCGAUUCCCUUCUGCUUCCACUCCCGCUGUUUUUCCUGCUUUUUCCGCCAUGUCCCAACUUCACCAUUUAUCGCGCACAAUUCUGAUCUAACCCAAUUUAUGCCGGUUCAAAAACGAAUCGAAAUUCAUAAUCCGAACCAAAAAAAGUUAUUGGUCUAUCAAUAAUGGGUUAUUGAUUUUAGCGGUUUAGAUAACGGUUUUGAUCUUUUUUGUUAUCGGGUUAUGAUUCUUAAUGGUUUGAGGUUUUCUUAAUCGGUAAACCGAUUAGUAAAUUAAAUAAUUAUAUUUAUACCAUUUUGUAUAUAAAAGUCCUUAACUUAAAAUUUAGUUUCCUACUUUUAUUUCUGGCUAUGUCAUAAUCUUGGUUAUUCUACAAUGUAAAAAUGUUUGCUUUUGAACAAGAUGCAACUUGUGAAUUCAUGUACAUGAUUCAUUCAAUUUGUCACCUUGUUUCUAAGUGAUUUUUUAUUAAUUUGUUUUUGUGUCAAAUCUUAACGAUUAAAUCGAUAACUAUCAAUAACUGAUAAACCACUACCCGAUAAGCCAAUAUCUUAAUGUUUUCUAUAACGGUUUUGCAUUUCUAGAAACCGAUAACCAAUAAGUCAAACCGAUAUACUUCAAAACCGAAUCGAACCGACCGAUACGCAACUCUUGGACUCUUUAUUUGAUUAAAUAUUAAGUUGUUAAUUAUAAGAAAAAAAUAAUUUAAUUAAAUAUAAAAAAGUUUAAAAACAUUUGUGUUGCAGUUCAAACAAAACAAAGUUCAGAAAUCAAAAUACACAUGGAUUUCUAUGGGCCUGCUAGAAGGUCUAUCCAAUUGUAUUUGAACAAAUUUUAUAAACAAAAAUAUUCAGAAAUAACAAACAUAAUAGAUAUAAUAAGGAUUUAUAGCUAUAGAUUCAAUAAUUGUGUUCCAUAGUUAUAGUUUUGUUUGCUAUGGAAGCUGCGGUUUGUAUAUUUCUCUUGAUCGUUUGUAAAUUUCGUUUGCAAAUAUACAAGCAGGGUAAGUAUAUACAAAUGGAGGCUACAAUUUGUAUAUUCUGCUUGUUCGUUUGUAUAUUUCGCUUGUGAAUAUAUAAAUAGGGUAAGCAUAUACAAAUUAUGUAUUUAUACAUUUAGGAAUUUUUUAGAACACCGUUGUAUAUUUCGCUUGCCAAUAUACAAACAAGGUAAUAUAUUAUGAAUUUUUCAUAAAUUGUAUACAAAUACCUAGGGUUAGCAUAUACAAAUUUCAUAUUUAUACAAUCAGGGAUCAAAUUAUACAAAUUAUGGAUUUAUACAAUUAAAAAACCGAAUAGCAAAAUUUUGUGAAACUAUAGCCAUGGAUUAAAAAUAAUCGAAACUAUAGUUAUAUUAUAUAAUAUACUCUAGAUGUUUGUCAUUUCGCAUAAUUUUUCCUUUUAUAAAAUAUUCUAGUAUAUAUGUUAAAUAAUCAGCGAAACGAUAAUUUCAAAAACUGAAGCGUGAUUCACAUGCACCAUGGAUGCAUUUGCAUGUCUUGCUUGCCCCUCUCUCUUGUUCCCCUCCUUCGAUGUAUUUUAUUUUAAAGCAUUUGUGUUAUACAAUAUCAUGUAUUUGUGUUAUACAAUAUCAUGUAUUUGUGUAUCCAAUAUCAAUGUAUACAAGUGUAUUCAAAAGAAUGUUAAAGCAUAUAUUUGGCUAUAGGGAAAAAGGACAAAUAUACCCCCGAACUAUCGUAAAUGGUAUGCAAAUACCCUUCUUCAUACUUUUGGGACAUUGGUGACCCUGCAGUCCAAAAACUAGAGCAUAUAUACCCUUUAUACUAAUAGACAUACACGUGUCAUAAUCUUAUCCACCGAUCCGACAUUUAUCGGCGGAUAAGAUUGCGCCACGUGUCCCUAUUUAGUCUUCCAUUAGAGUGAAGGGCAUAUAUGCUUUAGUUUUUGGACGGCAAGGGCACCAAUGUCCCAAAAAUAUGACGGAGGGUAUUUGCAUACCAUUUACGAUAGUUCGGGGGUAUAUUUGUCCCUUUUGCCUUGGCUAUAUAUGCAAAAGUUUGUAUCAAUUUCUACAAGUGUGCAUGUCUAUCCAAUAUCAGUUUUGAAAAUAUGUCUUUGACAUAUAUGCAUAAGCUUGUAUCAAUUUCUACAAAUGUAACUGUGCAUCCCAUAUCAGUCUCACAAUUACCAACGUAGUUGUAACCAAUGUUUAUUUCAUUUAGUGUAUCUAAUAUCGAUUUGAUGAACCAAAUGCAUAAAACAUGCAUAUGAUAACAAAUAUGCACGGAUACGUUCAUAAAUGUACACUAAUGUAUCAAGUGUAUUUUUAUGUAAAUAUAUAUUUUAAAGAAGAAGAAGAUAUACUAGAAACCACCAAGAUUCACUACAAUAAUAUCGAUUAUAUUCGUUACAUAAAAUGGAAUAACAAUAUCAUCCUUUUUGACUUACAACAUCAAGUAUUCGAAUAUGAUUUUCAACUUUAUCCUUCAAAUUUUGACUUGCAAUUGAUUGGUAAUACGAUCAAUCUUAAUCGAUCAACGUAACUAUCAUUGAAGAAGGACAAGAAGAUGUGAAGAGAAAGGCGACUAAGAAAAAGGGAAAUUUGAGAGAGAUGAAAGAGUGAGAGUGAGAAUGAGAACGAAAAAAGAUUAUGCGAUCUGCUAAGAAAAUCAAGAAAUAAUGCAUGAUUGUGUAAUUUUUUUAAAAGUAGUGUUUUAUUUAUUGAUUUUGUGCGGUUUUCUUCCUCAUUUUUUCUUAUAUUCUUGAUAUAAUAAAAUUGGACAAAUAAAAUUAGAGAAGAAUUUCAAAAAUAGAAGAAAAAAGGUGAAAGGAAAGAAAUAACGUAGGCUAUAAUAAUAAUAGUAAAUAGUAAUAAAAACUUUAUCCAAAACAAAUACUAAUAUAAUAUCGUCGUCUAGGUAGUUGAUGAUAAAGUAGCGAUACACUUCGUCCCACGUUCACGGUGACCGGAGCCUGAGGCCCUCAGCACGCAGGCAAAGUAAGCUCUCUACUCCCUGCGAAGAAGACGGCGGACACCAGAUUCGAACGGAGCUUCGUUUUUCAUUGUAAUCAGCACAUUAAAAACCCAUAAAUACCGUUUUUUCUAUUAUUGAUUUCAUCCCUAAAUAGUACUCCUUCUUGAACAAAAAAAACAUGUCUUUUUCUCUCAUCUCCUUAUCUUCUUCUUCAUCUUCUAUAGUUUCCAGAACUUUUCCUUCCUUUUUCUCUUCCGAAACUUCAUCUCCGCCGUCUUCUCUACUAACCCUUUUGAGGAAUCAGUCUAAUUUUAGUCAUGUUGCGUCAAUCUAUAGAAAUUUCGGUUCCAGUUCGUGUUCUUUCGUUUCUUCGGGUUGUUCUAUGUCGGUUGCCGAUUAUGUGGUUCCGAGGGCUUUUUCGUCUUCCUUUGAAUCUGAAUUUUCCGCUUCUGGUAGAAAUUCUGAUGGGGAAAGCUCGGAGGUUGGGUCAGGUGAAAAUGAUGAACAAGGGGCUGAGACUGACGAUGAAGACCAAGUGUUGAUUGUUGAUGAGGAAGAUGUGGGUUAUUCGAAUUCUGAUCUUCCUCAAAGAUGGGAUGUUUUGGGUCUUGGCCAAGCUAUGGUAAAUUCCCUUGCACCCCCUUUUCAUUUUGUACUUAUUGUUAGUAGGAAUGUUUUAGAGGAUGCUCAACUGUUAGAAUGCACUCCCUCCGUUUUUAAUUUGAUUGUCUAGUUUUGAGUUAGCACAUCUUGUGGAAUGUACCAGAAUUGCCAAAAAAAGAGAGUAAAGAACCAUUCUUUUUUAAAUGGACUGAAAAGCAAAGUAAGACGAAUAACGGAGGGAAUGUGUUGUUUUAUACUUAUACAUGAAAUGGAGCAGUUCUGUAAUCCCUUUAUGACAAACAGUGAAUGAUGGGGAUAUUAAUUAAUCCCAUACUAAGGUGUUCUUACAUUGUAGGGGAGAAUCCGGAAAACAAGUUUGUAUAUAAGUUCAUAUGGGUCUUUUUAGGACGUUGAAGGAUUGCUGUGCUUUUUACUCCCUUAUAGAUAGUGUUUUGCUUUCACUUAGUUGUUGAAAUACCUUAAAGCUAUAUUUAGAUGUAUUUCUAAUACAGAAUAAGUGAGAUUUAUGUAUAAUCCUUUUGUCUUCUUAUCUUAUGUUUUUCCAAAUCUUCUCUUUCAUGAAUUACAUUAUGGAAGGAUGCAUCACACUGCCCUAUCUGGCAUUAACUUUCCUGUUUUGCUUUAUUUGGUUUGUCAUCACUCCCACCGAAGUUUCACAUUGUUUAGACAAUAGACAGAUAUUUCUUUGUUAUAGUACUAGCUUCUUUCAUGUGGUGAUGUUCUUUGGUGAUUAUGCAGGUUGAUUUUUCUGGAAUGGUUGACAAUGAGUUUCUGGAAAGGCUUGGAUUAGAGAAGGGUACUAGAAAGGUCGUCAAUCAUGAGGAAAGGGGUAAAGUUCUGAGUGCAAUGGACGGAUGCAGUUACAAGGCCGCUGCGGGUGGAUCACUUUCUAAUAGUCUGGUUGCCUUGGCCAGGCUUGGUGGUCAGUCAAUAGCUGGUCCUGCUCUGAAUGUAGCUUUGGCUGGUAGUAUUGGAAGUGAUCCGUUGGGUGGAUUUUACAGGUAAAGUUCAACUCUUUUAGUCUUAUUCCAUUCUUUGUUUUUGGGGGUGGGUAGGGGGGAUUGAUAUUGUGAAGUCUUCCCCUCGAACUUNNNNNNNNNNNNNNNNNNNNNNNNNNNNNNNNNNNNNNNNNNNNNNNNNNNNNNNNNNNNNNNNNNNNNNNNNNNNNNNNNNNNNNNNNNNNNNNNNNNNAUUACUAUAUCUUUUCGAUUAUCAGUAAGGCUGAGCAUUACCUAUUCCCCAGAAACGUCGAACAUUAUUUUUCUGUAUAUAAUUACGUAAACCAUGUGGAGACUGUCUAUUUCAGAUCAAAGGGCAAAAUUCUUUCAGGUACAGACAGUUUCUAAUUUACAGAAAGGUUACAUAACAAACCAUGAGAAUCUUCCUACUCAUCAUCAUAUGAAACAUGGAAAUUGGUGGUACAGCCACUUGCUUGAGGAUCUUCAGCUCCGCAGCAAUCAUAAAACUUGGCAGCAUAAGGAGGAUCGUCUGGUCCUAGUUCGUAAUACCUACAAAGAGAAAAGAAGGCAGAGACUAUCAACUAGCCAACCAUCCUUCAGAAACUAUCUUGCAUGAUAUAAAUAUAGAAAUACCACUCCCGCAUAGUGAAUAGAUAUGGAGGAAAACCAGCCAUGGAUAUACUAAUACAAGAAAGUGAAGUGGUAGAAUUUACAGGUUAAUAGCUAAUGUUAUCUUUCUAGCAUGAAAGUAAUGCCAUCCUCAUAUUCUCGUUUUCCUCAAAACUAUGAGAUUCUUGUCAUUUUUGCAAUCAAUACAACCAAGUAAAACUGUUACUAGAGUAUACUGCAGCCCAGGGGUAGAUUAUCAAUCUCACUAGAGUAGACAGAACAAGUAAGCCAACUGCAAUUCUGCAUACGUUCCUGCACCAGUUUUUUUUCCUUUUCCCAUUUCCCAUCUUCUUUUCCAUUUUAAAAUUUUAAUGAGAUUUGAACAUUUGAAGCUAUGCCGAACUAGUUUGGGAUUGAAGUGUAGUUGAUUGAUUGAUCAGGAUGGUGGACCUUGCUUUGAACAAAUUAAAAGGGGUCUAGGAUUUGCCCGUAAUUCCCUUACUGUUUUAAGCCAGACCCAGCCAAGAUUUCCUUUUGAGCCUCCCUAGACAAAGGAAUGCCACCUUAUCAAGUAAAACCAGUUAAAUUAGGUUGUUCGGGUGAAGAUGAUUGGGGUCAAUUUUGGGCUAAAUAAUGGGUCAUAACUCAUAACCAUCACACCCAACUUAAACCAUUUUGUCAUUUGUUUGACCUCUGUUUUGGUUUAUAAUUAGUUUAAUUACCACAAAUUGAAACAACUUUUUUGUUAAUUAUAUAUAGAGAGAAAAAGUGGAUGAUAUUGGAGAAACCUUUUUCUAUUGUUUGACGAAGUCUCCGGAGGGUCAUUUUGAACUACCAAACUUUUAAAUGAGUUAAUUUGAGUUUUCUUUAAAUUGGCCCAAUAAAUAUUUCUAAUUCCACCCGUCAAAGUUUGAAGGGUUGGACGGGCUACAUAAAUUCAUAUGAGCAAUGUUGACACUGUAUGAGUAAUGGCGCGCCUAUAAGCCUCUAUCAAGUUAUGUAAUGGUGCAUCAAUCCAGUAGAUCCAAAGGUUUACAGAUGUUCUCAUUUCUUAUAAGAAGAAAAUAUCAGUAGGCUGUCUCAGUUUCACUGAAACUGGUCUAAGUUCACUGCUGAAAGAGAAUAACAACUUAGAGCUGCACCUCUAGAAGAAACACACCUUUUCACACACAAAAUCAUGUAUGCACAUUUAUUUUUUCUUGUCAGUCGGGUGGAAUUUGUCAAAAGGGAGCAAGAAGUAAGGUGCAAAGUGCCAAAAGAUUAACAAGCAAGGAUAUGAGAAGGAAUUAAAUUCAAAAAUAUCAGACUAGCAUUUUUCUUUUGUUUUUGUUAUUCACUGAUGUAACACCCAGACUAAUUAUGAUACAGAGUGAAUCUAUGUGGGCUUAAGAUAAGUUGUUGUGUGGCUUGUUCUUCUUGUACCUAGCGGGAUGCAGUGUCAAGUAGUUAGCACGGAAACUCAUGUCACAAGAGUCGUGUCUAUGGACUUCAGCAGUUUCCAAUUCUACAAGUGAAAUCAUUAUGGGUGCUCAAGUUUCUAAAACAAACAAAAGGAUCUUACUCCCUGAACAUAAAAGG